rnacentral:rRNA from 1 species
GACGAACGCUGGCGGCGUGCUUAACACAUGCAAGUCGAACGGAAAGGCCCUGCUUUUGUGGGGUGCUCGAGUGGCGAACGGGUGAGUAACACGUGAGUAACCUGCCCUUGACUUUGGGAUAACUUCAGGAAACUGGGGCUAAUACCGGAUAGGAGCUCCUGCUGCAUGGUGGGGGUUGGAAAGUUUCGGCGGUUGGGGAUGGACUCGCGGCUUAUCAGCUUGUUGGUGGGGUAGUGGCUUACCAAGGCUUUGACGGGUAGCCGGCCUGAGAGGGUGACCGGCGACAUUGGGACUGAGAGACGGCCCAGACUCCUACGGGAGGCAGCAGUGGGGAAUAUUGCACAAUGGGCGGAAGCCUGAUGCAGCAACGCCGCGUGCGGGAUGACGGCCUGCGGGUUGUAAACCGCUUUCGCCUGUGACGAAGCGGGAGUGACGGUAAUGGGUAAAGAAGCACCGGCUAACUACGUG